AAUGCUCACAAGCACUGCUGAUCUACCAAGAUCUUUAGGAGAGCAUAAAUCAGACUAAAUAGCCCGUGGGAGCCCCAUUUCUUUGGUUUGGAAUCUGUCAAGGAAACUCAUGCAGUCAGAUAUCAACACAGAAACAGAACUAAGCUUUGACGAUGGCAAGGUUGAUCACGAGCAGGAGGAGAAUGAGGAUUAUUCAGCCAUCUCCACAGGAUAUUUUCCAUAUUACAGAACAUGUGAGAAGCAUAUUGUCCAGCCACUCACAUGUGGCAUGAACGCAGAGGACAAGAAGCCUGAUAAUGACUGGAAAGAUGAAAGAGAAGGUGAAUGCGCAGAGGAUGGUGGAGAUGUUGAGAAGACCACCCCACCAAGUCUGGAGACAGACAAGAGGGCACUUUCCUCCAUGAGCACUGCAGAGCCAACAUCCCAUGAGCUCCUAAGGGACCGUGCCUCUGAAAAGUGCCUGCCAGCCACCUCCUUCCCCAGCUGGCUGCUGGGCCUGCACCAGCCCUUUUCUUGUGGCGGGUAUUUCCCUUACUACAGGACAGAAGGAGAGCUCUGCAUCAGCCCGGCUCUGUGUGACAGGUUUCUCACCAGGAUAGAGAUGUUGGAGAAUGAGGAGGGAGGACAAGAGGGAGAAACCAGAAUUUGGAAUUUUGGUGCCAGCUGCUUGGUGUGCUGAGAACAAAGCAGCGAGUUUGUCAGCAAAAGGCAGAGACUGAUUCAAUGCGGGCACAAAUGAGAAGUUCUUGAAAACUACAACCACAUGAACAUCUGCAUGAGUACAGAAUAAAAAUGAUCCUCCUUUUGAAAACGACA
rnacentral:lncRNA from 1 species